rnacentral:rRNA from 1 species
UACGAAGGGGGCUAGCGUUGUUCGGAAUUACUGGGCGUAAAGCGCACGUAGGCGGACAUUUAAGUCAGGGGUGAAAUCCCGGGGCUCAACCCCGGAACGGCCUUUGAUACUGGGUGUCUUGAGUUCGGAAGAGGUGAGUGGAAUUGCGAGUGUAGAGGUGAAAUUCGUAGAUAUUCGCAGGAACACCAGUGGCGAAGGCGGCUCACUGGUCCGAUACUGACGCUGAGGUGCGAAAGCGUGGGGGAGCAAACAGG